AGUUCCACUGGGGCAUAGUUGACUCUCGAUCCAGGCUGGAGUUUUAUUCAUAUGACCGUGAACUAUGCACCAAAACAUUUAGCUUUUUUGUUAUUUUUCCAGUUGCUGGGGAAACUAGGCUGGAGGGAAUCUGUGCGUGGAGAAAAGGCUCGGUCUGACAAUACAGUAUAGUCGCCACUAUGAUAUCGGGCCUAUAUGCAAGAUACUUAUCGGAAGCUAAGACCAGCAUCGCUUGGACCAUCAUGGACCAAAGAGACAUUAGUUCCCAUUAUGGCAUUAAUUACGCAGUGAACAUCUCGCAGCCUGAGCAGUCAAGCAGUUUGUCAAAUUAACGUGAUACUCUUUUUCUUGGUAUAUGGGAGUCUGGAGCAACGAUGUAAGGAACCCGGAACUAAUAAAAAGGACAUAGCAAUUA
rnacentral:misc_RNA from 1 species